GUUAAUAUAUAUUAAUUUGCGAAGGGCCUUGAGCUACUCAAUAAAGUAUGUGGUACUGGAACUAUAUGUUGCAAUAUAUAGUAAAUAUUAUUGGGUAGGGGUGAUAGGCCUAUCAAGAGGCCCGAUAUCUUAAUGUUUAGGAAAAAUAUUUAGUAUUUAAACAAUUUUGAAGUGGUGAGGUUUCAGAAAAGUACAAAGGCGAGUAAUUGUAGUAUAAAAUAUUUAACGGUAAUUAUUUUAAUUUAUAGUUCAUUUUAUGUCUGAUGUUUGUAGCGUGUACUAAACUGUAUCUUUAAUAGUAAAGGUUAUUAUUACUGUUAAUAUUAGUAUUUAAAUAAAACCGAGGAAGGAACUCGGCAAAUUACUACUCGACUGUUUAUCAAAAACGUAGCUAGAUGUAUUAUAUAUUUAGUUACUUCUGCUCAAUGGUUAACUAAAUAGCCGCAGUACUCUGACUGUGCAAAGGUAGCAUAAUCAUUUGGCUUAUAAUUGAAGUCUGGCAUGAAAGAAUCUACGGGUAGUCACUGUCUUCAUUGGUUUCUCUGAACUUCCUUAAGAGGUGAAAAUGCCUUUAAACAUAAAAUAGACGAGAAGACCCUAGAAAUUUUUUACACAUUUAGAUUGAUCUAUUUUCUAUUUUGUUGGGGCGACAGAAUAACAUUUAACUUAUUUUAUUUAAUGUGCACUAUGUAUUGUGGAAAAACAAAUUACUCUAGGGAUAACAGCAUAAUUUUACUAGUUUGUGACCUCGAUGUUGGACUAGGGAUUUUAUUAACCAGCAGUUAACUGAACAUGCUCUGUUCGAGCAAUUAUCCCUACAUGAUCUGAGUUCAGACCGGC
rnacentral:rRNA from 1 species